UACGUAGGUGGCAAGCGUUGUCCGGAAUUACUGGGCGUAAAGAGCGCGUAGGCGGCGCGGUACGACCGCUGUGAAAGCCCCCAGCUCAACUGGGGAGGGUCAGCGGUAACGGCCGUGCUUUGAGUGCAGGAGAGGGAAGUGGAACUCCGGGAGUAGCGGUGAAAUGCGUAGAGACCCGGAGGAACACCAGUGGCGAAGGCGGCUUCCUGGUCUGCGACUGACGCUGUGGCGCGAAAGCUAGGGGAGCGAACGGA
rnacentral:rRNA from 1 species